CGGUGGUCUUAGCAGAGGAGAAAUACCCGUUCCCAUCCCGAAUACGGAAGUUAAGCCCUCUAACGCCGAUGGUACUGCACUGGUGACGGUGUGGGAGAGUAGGACGCUGCCG
rnacentral:rRNA from 1 species